rnacentral:rRNA from 1 species
AGCUCCAAUAGCGUAUAUUAAAGUUGUUGCAGUUAAAAAGCUCGUAGUUGGAUCUCGGGAGCAGGCCGGCGGUCCGCCUCGCGGCGGGUUCUUCCUGUCCCGCCCCUCCUGCCGGGUUUUCCCCCGGGCUCUUCAUUUAGUGCCCCCGGUGGCCGGAACGUUUACUUUGAAAAAAUUAGAGUGUUCAAAGCAGGCAGUUCGCCUGAAUAAUGGUGCAUGGAAUAAUGGAAUAGGACCUCGGUUCUAUUUUGUUGGUUUUCGGAACUUGAGGUAAUGAUUAAGAGGGACAGACGGGGGCAUUCGUAUUACACUGUUAGAGGUGAAAUUCUUGGAUCGGUGUAAGACGAACUACUGCGAAAGCAUUUGCCAAGAAUGUUUUCA